rnacentral:rRNA from 1 species
CAGUAGCCACGGUAAUACGUAGGGUACGAGCGUUAAUCGGAAUUACUGGGCGUAAAGCGUGCGCAGGCGGUUUUGUAAGACAGGCGUGAAAUCCCCGGGCUCAACCUGGGAAUGGCGCUUGUGACUGCAAAGCUAGAGUGCGGCAGAGGGGGAUGGAAUUCCGCGUGUAGCAGUGAAAUGCGUAGAUAUGCGGAGGAACACCGAUGGCGAAGGCAAUCCCCUGGGCCUGCACUGACGCUCAUGCACGAAAGCUAGGGGAGCAAACAGGAUUAGAUACCCCCGUAGUCCCUGUCUCUUAUAC